AUUGAACGCUGGCGGCAUGCCUUACACAUGCAAGUCGAACGCGAAAGCGGGGCAACCCGCAAGUAGAGUGGCGAACGGGUGAGUAAUACAUCGGAACGUACCCAGUAGCGGGGGAUAACCUCUCGAAAGAGAAGCUACUACCGCAUACGACCUAUGGGUGAAAGCGGGGGAUCGCAAGACCUCGCACUAUUGGAGCGGCCGAUGUCGGAUUAGCUAGUUGGCGGGGUAACGGCCCACCAAGGCGACGAUCCGUAGCUGGUCUGAGAGGACGACCAGCCACACUGGAACUGAGACACGGUCCAGACUCCUACGGGAGGCAGCAGUGGGGAAUUUUGGACAAUGGGCGCAAGCCUGAUCCAGCCAUGCCGCGUGAGUGAAGAAGGCCU
rnacentral:rRNA from 1 species